rnacentral:rRNA from 1 species
GACGAACGCUGGCGGCGUGCUUAACACAUGCAAGUCGAACGGAAAGGCCCUGCUUUUGUGGGGUGCUCGAGUGGCGAACGGGUGAGUAACACGUGAGUAACCUGCCCUUGACUUUGGGAUAACUUCAGGAAACUGGGGCUAAUACCCGAUAGGAGCUCCUGCUGCAUGGUGGGGGUUGGAAAGUUUCGGCGGUUGGGGAUGGACUCGCGGCUUAUCAGCUUGUUGGUGGGGUAGUGGCUUACCAAGGCUUUGACGGGUAGCCGGCCUGCGAGGGGGACCGGGGACAUUGGGACUGAGAUACGGCCCAGAAUCCUACGGGAGGCAGCAGUGGGGAAUAUUGCGCAGUGGGCGGAAGCCUGAGGCAGCAGCGCCGCGUGCGGGAUGACGGCCUUCGGGUUGUAAACCGCUUUCGCCUGUGACGAAGCGUGAGUGACGGUAAUGGGUAAAGAAGCACCGGCUAACUACGUG